AUUAUUCCACCAACUGUACCUAUUACAAUUCGCCAGUCAACAUUACGACGCCGUUGAUUGAUCCAGCCGUUGAGAAUAUAUCCCACCCACUCAUUUUCAGCCGCUGGAUCAUUAAUCCCUACAAUAAAUACACCUUUUCCUUUAUCAUUUCAAUUCAUUUCAUAUUGCUUCCAUUCAUUUCCUAGCCGCCUCCGUCAGCUAGCUCCUGACCUCUUUCUCCACGCCGGAUUGGUGUUUUCUUAUUUUUUUCCGUCAGAUUCAUUCAGAUCGCGAGGCGAUCUACGUUUUGGUUAUGAAAUCUCCGAUUUUUGUUAUGUUUUUUAUUUUUCUUCGCUUGAUAGAUUGGUCUCCUGGUUGUUAUGCUGUCUGCGGCUGUGAAACGCCGAGGUUUGGCUAGAUCUGCAAAAGUGUUGGACGGAUCGUCAAAGAUCCGAUUUUGCGUGAUUGGAUUGGAAACAUCGGUGUCUGGAUCUGGAAACACGGAGACAUCUUGAGAAGAAACGAUUGUUUGAUGGAGGGCGUUAACAGUUCUGGCUUCGUCGUGGUUUUGUCUAUCAAUCUCUGGUGGAUCGGCCGAGUGAUUUAAGGGAAGUUAAUUGGUUUAUGCUGUGUUAUUUCAUGUGUUAUUCUGUCUGUGUAGACUCGACGAAUUGUUGAGGUAUCAGACUGUAAAAAAAUGAAAAAUGAGUGAACUAUGUGAAAAGAGAGGUGAGGUGUGGUUGUCUGCAUGACCUUUGCCAUGAUGGGUGCGCUCGCAUGGCAGGUCGCCCGUUAAUGAAAAUUUCUAUUUUUUGGUUUCGAGGGGAGAUGGUACGGGGAUUUGCCCGGUUCUCCCCCUUGUGUGGUGUCCUCUCUCUCUCCUGCAUCUCUCCAUCUACUCCUCAUAUUUUGCAUCUUCAAUCUUUAUUAUGCACGCGUGCUAGUUUCAAAUCCAGCAAUUUGGCCUUGAAUCGGGAUGUGAACCGUUUAAUGCAAAAUAUAACGCAUUCAAGACCAAAACGUCUCCAUUACUUGAAAGCAAAAUAUUGGGAUCAAUCAAUAUAGGGCUGCAAUAUGCUUAUCAGCAUCCACUACUACAGAGGUACCAAUUUGCACUUUCUCAGAUAUACUUAUCUUUUUCACUUGCCAAUCUUUACAUUCUUAAUAAUAAACUUACUCUAACGCUUUGUUGGUUUACUGGCUCAAAUUAUCUUGUGUCGUUACUUAAAUAGGGUUUUUUUGUCAGGUCUGUGUACGUCUUAUCUUUUAAUACCUACAAAUAAAGUUCUGAACAAAAUAUAAUCAGAGCUAUAUCAAUUUCAAAAUCACUUUGAUUUACUUUUUAGGAAUAACCGGAUACCAAACUUUCCUCUGACAGUAAACGUGCAUCUUCCCUCUCAUAUGAAUUGAAUCAUAACAUGGUUAAUUGGUAGUAGUAUUUUUAACAUUAGCUACAGAAUAUAAUCUCCACACGACUUUAAUUAUUAACCAACUAUCCGUUCCCCUACUACAUCAUUACUUUUUAACCAGUUCACAAGCUAUCAAACUGUACAGUGUGUUCUUUAUAGUUCUUUUGCACUUGGUUAUUUAGUUUUCUUUUAAAGCACAUUUGAUAUCUGAUUUGUUAGUUUUCUGUUGAGGGUUUUAGCCAAUUAUUUAUGAUUAUUAAUGUAUUACCGUUUAAAUUAAUCUGCCAAUUGAAUGGUUGGAGGGACUGUAGUGUAUAGUUUAAAGCUGUAGCUUGGUUGUAAUAGAUCGACUUUCCAGUAUAAGGUUGGUUGCUCACUGGAUUUGGAGCUGUCCUUGGUAUGGUGGUUUGCUGCUGCUAUGUUGCUGCACCUCUGUUUUAUGUUUUUUUGAUGUGCUGCUGCUGCUAUUGCUUUGGAUCUUUUGGUGAUUGUUCUCAUAAUUGUUGCUGCUUAUCUAGCAAAUAUUCUCAAGUUGCAUGUAGACACAUGCUUUGUUGGUCUCUUCAAGUGUAGUCGAAGAUAAUUGUCAAGUAAAGCUGCAAGGAACUUCAGUUGUCUUUAUGUUGCAAGUGCCAUAUGAUUUGUGGUAAUGAUGUGAAUACUCUUAUUUUCAGGUGGUUAGAUUUUACUUGAGCCCUGCGGUGUUCUGUUAGUUUAUUGUUACUUUUCCUAUAUGAUUGCUUCUGUGGUGUUUGUAUCUUGUGAUUACUUGUGCAUUAUUUUUAAUAUGAUGAUAUAUAGUAGCUCAAAGUUUGUUUUA